GAUGAACGCUGGCGGCGUGCUUAACACAUGCAAGUCGAACGGUGAAGCAGAGCUUGCUCUGUGGAUCAGUGGCGAACGGGUGAGUAACACGUGAGCAAUCUGCCCCUGACUCUGGGAUAAGCGCUGGAAACGGCGUCCAAUACCGGAUAUGAGCUGCGGCCGCAUGGUCGGCAUUUGGAAAGAUUUUUCGGUCAGGGAUGAGCUCGCGGCCUAUCUGCUUGUUGGUGAGGUAAAGGCCCACCAAGGCGUCGACGGGUAGCCGGCCUGGGAGGGGGACCGGCCACACGGGGGAUGAGACACGGCCCAGACUCCUACGGGGGGCAGCAGUGGGGAAUAUUGCACAAUGGGCGGAAGCCUGAUGCAGCAACGCCGCGUGAGGGAUGACGGCCUUCGGGUUGUAAACCUCUUUUAGCAGGGAAGAAGCGAAAGUGACGGUACCUGCAGAAAAAGCGCCGGCUAACUACGUGCCAGCAGCCGCCGUAA
rnacentral:rRNA from 1 species